CUGCUUCUCAUGCUGGUCUCAUUAGGCAGCCAAGGAAAGCAUUUCUCAUCUGUGUCUUCCCAACAGCUGCCCAAAUUUAUCCCUUAAUUGUGAGGAUUUUUAAGAUACAGCCUUUCUAUAUAUGCGUGUUAAGCCUGCUACAAUUUGAUGCUAAAAAGAUUCUCAAAAUGUUGUAAGCAAAUGGAGAACCACUAAGGUAAUACUGAAAUAAAAUGUGAGUUAAGAAUUAGAAAACCCUAUGUAUCAGUGAGGAAUGGAUUCUGUGGACUCUUUGUACUGUUAAAAUUUCUUUUGGAAAUGAACUCCCACUGUCUAAAAUACCAUAACAUUUUACAGGUUUGCAAAGGAUGAAAAUGCUCCCACAUGUUAAGCUCAGGGAGCUGUUGUCAGAUGCAGGUGCUCUUGCUGCUUGCUAACCUCUCUCUACCUCCUCUCUGCUCCCCCAGCCCAGGUUUUGCUCAACUGCCCUGAAACCAAACCGCUCAUCUGUUCUGCAAAUAAAGCAGUGUUUCAUUUGUAUGGAAGGGGGAGGUCUGUGCAUUGCACUGCAGCGGGAACUUUCAGACAAAGGCAAGAUUAGUGGCUAAGCAGACAAAGAGAAAAUGGAGGAAAAUAAUAGCAGUGGCGAGUACAUGCAUCAAGUAAGUGUGGCCCAAUAUUUUUAUGGCCUUUUUGAUAGAUUGCUUUGGAUGCGUCUGGGCAACAUUGAAUGCAGCAUUUUUUAUCUCUAUCCCAGAAGGAUUAUUCCAGUGGUUCACCUUAGAUUCUGCACAGAAUAUUACUUUGAUACUGUAAUAGCUUUGGAAAAGCUGUCCUUUGAUGUCAAGAGCUGUAUGGAACUGUUCUUUUGAUUAAGAAACACUUGCACACUUGAAAAACCUAAUAAUAGAUUUAAAAAAAAAAAAAAAAGGAAAAGGAAAAAUGAUCAUCAAUUGUGCUUUAUUAAAUUAGAUCUAUAGGAGAGGCGCAGAAUGCGUGUGCAUCUGUAUCCCCUGUCUUCUUCUGUUAUCUUUCUGUUGGAAACCCUCACAGUAUGUCUGUCUCUGGCUUGAAUAGCCCCAGAGCCUGUUUCUUUUCUCCCUCCUAGUUCUAGGACUCUCCCCUUUCUUCUGCUGUUGAAUGCUUGCAGACCGAGCAACCUGGCUGCCAGGCAAGUUAUUACAUUCCCCCUUCCCUCAUGCUAGUGUGAUUGUCAAGGAUUUUUUCCAUAUGACUUCAGUGUAAAAUCUAGCCCUGUCCAUCUUCCAUGGGAAGAUUUUUUUUCACAAGCAGUGGGCAUAAAUGAACUGGUGGCAAAGACUUAACUUCAUCC
rnacentral:lncRNA from 1 species